rnacentral:rRNA from 1 species
AGUCGAGCGCCCCGCAAGGGGAGCGGCAGACGGGUGAGUAACGCGUGGGAAUCUACCGAGCCCUGCGGAAUAGCUCCGGGAAACUGGAAUUAAUACCGCAUACGCCCUACGGGGGAAAGAUUUAUCGGGGUUUGAUGAGCCCGCGUUGGAUUAGCUAGUUGGUGGGGUAAUGGCCUACCAAGGCGACGAUCCAUAGCUGGUCUGAGAGGAUGAUCAGCCACAUUGGGACUGAGACACGGCCCAAACUCCUACGGGAGGCAGCAGUGGGGAAUAUUGGACAAUGGGGGCAACCCUGAUCCAGCCAUGCCGCGUGAGUGAUGAGGGCCUUAGGGUUGUAAAGCUCUUUCACCGGUGAAGAUAAUGACGGUAACCGGAGAAGAAGCCCCGGCUAACUUCGUGCCAGCAGCCGCGGUAAUACGAAGGGGGCUAGCGUUGUUCGGAAUUACUGGGCGUAAAGCGCACGUAGGCGGAUAUUUAAGUCAGGGGUGAAAUCCCAGAGCUCAACUCUGGAACUGCCUUUGAUACUGGGUAUCUUGAGUAUGGAAGAGGUAAGUGGAAUUCCGAGUGUAGAGGUGAAAUUCGUA